CAAUUGGAAGCUCUUGGGGGAAGGGUCUCUUUCUAGCACCGUGUAUUUGUUCAGUAAUCAUCAUAAUGGGGCCCUGAUCCCAGUAGAGGCCACUAGGAGCUACUGUAAUACAAAUAACUCAAGUUUAUGGCUUCAUGAACAGGUCCAGCAAACCAUCCCACAUGAUCCCAAUCUUGACUUGAAGGAAACACCUCUGGGAUGGACAGGAAGUUCUGUCUUCAUGGUCCUUGGCCUCUGUGCAGACUAACAAGCAUGCUACUUAGCGCCCAACGAAACCACAAAGAACUGAAGAGAGAUACCACAUCAGAUGCCAUUUAAAAAAGAACGCACAUCAAAUUUUGAUCACGGUAAAGAAAGAACAAAAUGUUGCACUGACUUUAAAGUACAAAGAUGGAAAACCUCCGUGCAUCCGUGGUGUUAAAAACUACAGUUAUGUAUGAAUUUAGGUAUCACAGUUACAGGAAUU